rnacentral:rRNA from 1 species
GAUGAACGCUGGCGGCGUGCCUAAUACAUGCAAGUCGAGCGAACGGACGAGAAGCUUGCUUCUCUGAUGUUAGCGGCGGACGGGUGAGUAACACGUGGAUAACCUACCUAUAAGACUGGGAUAACUUCGGGAAACCGUAGCUAAUACCGGAUAAUAUUUUGAACCGCAUGGUUCAAAAGUGAAAGACGGUCUUGCUGUCACUUAUAGAUGGAUCCGCGCUGCAUUAGCUAGUUGGUAAGGUAACGGCUUACCAAGGCAACGAUGCAUAGCCGACCUGAGAGGGGGAUCGGCCAAACUAGAACUGAGACACGGUCCAGACUCCUACGGGAGGCAGCAGUAGGGAAUCUUCCGCAAUGGGCGAAAGCCUGACGGAGCAACGCCGCGUGAGUGAUGAAGGUCUUCGGAUCGUAAAACUCUGUUAUUAGGGAAGAAAAUAGGUGUAAGUAACUGUGCACAUCUUGACGGUACCUAAUCAGAAAGCCACGGCUAACUACGUG